rnacentral:rRNA from 1 species
CGGACGGGUGAGUAACACGUGGAUAACCUACCUAUAAGACUGGGAUAACUUCGGGAAACCGGAGCUAAUACCGGAUAAUAUUUUGAACCGCAUGGUUCAAAAGUGAAAGACGGUCUUGCUGUCACUUAUAGAUAGGUCCGCGCUGCAUUAGCUAGUUGGUAAGGUAACGGCUUACCAAGGCAACGAUGCAUAGCCGACCUGAGAGGGUGAUCGGCCACACUGGAACUGAGACACGGUCCAG